GACGAACGCUGGCGGCGUGCUUAACACAUGCAAGUCGAACGGAAAGGCCCUGCUUUUGUGGGGUGCUCGAGUGGCGAACGGGUGAGUAACACGUGAGUAACCUGCCCUUGACUUUGGGAUAACUUCAGGAAACUGGGGCUAAUACCGGGUAGAAGCUCCUGCUGCAUGGUGGGGGUUGGUAAGUUUCGGCGGUUGGGGAUGGACUCGCGGCUUCUCAGCUGGUUUGUGGGGUAGUGGCUUACCAAGGCUUUGACGGGUAGCCGGCCUGAGAGGGUGACCGGCCACAUUGGGACUGAGAUAGGGACCAGUAUCCUACGGGAGGCAGCAGUGGGGAAUAUUGCGCAAUGGGCGGAAGCCUGAUGCAGCAACGCCGCGUGCGGGAUGACGGCCUUCGGGUUGUAAACCGCUUUCGCCUGUGACGAAGAGUGAGUGACGGUAAUGGGUCAAGAAGCACCGGCUAACUACGUG
rnacentral:rRNA from 1 species